rnacentral:rRNA from 1 species
AGAGUUUGAUCCUGGCUCAGGACGAACGCUGGCGGCGUGCCUAAUACAUGCAAGUCGAACGAAGCUUUCUUUCACCGAAUGCUUGCAUUCACCGAAAGAAGCUUAGUGGCGAACGGGUGAGUAACACGUAGGCAACCUGCCCAAAAGAGGGGGAUAACACUUGGAAACAGGUGCUAAUACCGCAUAACCAUGAACACCGCAUGAUGUUCAUGUAAAAGACGGCUUUUGCUGUCACUUUUGGAUGGGCCUGCGGCGUAUUAACUUGUUGGUGGGGUAACGGCCUACCAAGGUGAUGAUACGUAGCCGAACUGAGAGGUUGAUCGGCCACAUUGGGACUGAGACACGGCCCAAACUCCUACGGGAGGCAGCAGUAGGGAAUCUUCCACAAUGGACGAAAGUCUGAUGGAGCAACGCCGCGUGAAUGAAGAAGGCCUUCGGGUCGUAAAAUUCUGUUGUCAGAGAAGAACGUGCGUGAGAGUAACUGUUCACGUAUUGACGGUGUCUGACCAGAAAGCCACGGCUAACUACGUGCCAGCAGCCGCGGUAAUACGUAGGUGGCGAGCGUUGUCCGGAUUUAUUGGGCGUAAAGGGAACGCAGGCGGUCUUUUAAGUCUGAUGUGAAAGCCUUCGGCUUAACCGAAGUAGUGCAUUGGAAACUGGAAGACUUGAGUGCAGAAGAGGAGAGUGGAACUCCAUGUGUAGCGGUGAAAUGCGUAGAUAUAUGGAAGAACACCAGUGGCGAAAGCGGCUCUCUGGUCUGUAACUGACGCUGAGGUUCGAAAGCGUGGGUAGCAAACAGGAUUAGAUACCCUGGUAGUCCACGCCGUAAACGAUGAGUGCUAAGUGUUGGAGGGUUUCCGCCCUUCAGUGCUGCAGCUAACGCAUUAAGCACUCCGCCUGGGGAGUACGGUCGCAAGACUGA